rnacentral:rRNA from 1 species
CCUACGGGAGGCAGCAGUGGGGAAUAUUGCACAAUGGGGGAAACCCUGAUGCAGCGACGCCGCGUGAGUGAAGAAGUAUUUCGGUACGUAAAGCUCUAUCAGCAGGGAAGAAAAUGACGGUACCUGACUAAGAAGCCCCGGCUAACUGCGUGCCAGCAGCCGCGGUAAUACGUAGGGGGCAAGCGUUAUCCGGAUUUACUGGGUGUAAAGGGAGCGUAGACGGCAGCGCAAGUCUGGAGUGAAAUCCCAUGGCUUAACCAUGGAACUGCUUUGGAAACUGUGCAGCUAGAGUGCAGGAGAGGUAAGCGGAAUUCCUAGUGUAGCGGUGAAAUGCGUAGAUAUUAGGAGGAACACCAGUGGCGAAGGCGGCUUACUGGACUGUAACUGACGUUGAGGCUCGAAAGCGUGGGGAGCAAACAGGAUUAGAUACCCGAGUAGUC